UACGGAGGGUGCGAGCGUUGUCCGGAAUCAUUGGGCGUAAAGGGCGCGUAGGUGGCCCGGUCAGUCUUUGGUGAAAGCGCGGGGCUCAACCCUGCGUCGGCCAGGGAUACUGCCGCGGCUCGAGCACUGUAGAGGCAGGCGGAAUUCCGGGUGUAGCGGUGGAAUGCGUAGAGAUCCGGAAGAACACCGGUGGCGAAGGCGGCCUGCUGGGCAGUUAGCUGACACUGAGGCGCGACAGCGUGGGGAGCAACAGG
rnacentral:rRNA from 1 species